GGGCUACUGAGUCGCCGACAUAUUUGAUUUCAUUAAAUAUACCAUGAAACAAAAAUUUGUUUUUUUUUUUUAACUUUUGGGAACGCUGAGAAACAAAAAAGUCAAUAGAGCGUUAAUUUUUUAAUUUGGGUAGUAGCUUCAAUAAACAAUAUACAACCAAACUCAGGAUGUGGAAGUGGACUUAUAGAUUUAUAUAUCUACACUUCCUUCGCUU
rnacentral:misc_RNA from 1 species